rnacentral:rRNA from 1 species
GAUGAACGCUAGCGGGAGGCCUAAUACAUGCAAGUCGAACGGUAACAGGGUAGCAAUACCGCUGACGAGUGGCGUACGGGUGCGUAACACGUACACAACCUGCCCUAUACUGGAGGAUAGCCUCGGGAAACUGAGAUUAACCCUCCAUAACGUUGCGAAAAGGCAUCUUUUUGCAACUAAAACUCCGGUGGUAUAGGAUGGGUGUGCGUCUGAUUAGGUAGUUGGUGGGGUAACGGCUCACCAAGCCAACGAUCAGUAGCUGGUCUGAGAGGAUGAUCAGCCACACGGGCACUGAGACACGGGCCCGACUCCUACGGGAGGCAGCAGUAGGGAAUAUUGGACAAUGGGCGCAAGCCUGAUCCAGCCAUCCCGCGUGAGUGAAGAAGGCCU